rnacentral:rRNA from 1 species
GAUAAACGCUAGCGGCAGGCUUAACACAUGCAAGUCGAGGGGCAGCAUAGAUUGUAGCAAUACAAUUGGUGGCGACCGGCGCACGGGUGCGUAACGCGUAUGCAACCUACCCGUCACAGGGGGAUAAUCCGGAGAAAUCUGGUCUAAUACCCCAUAACAUAUGGAUCGGCAUCGGUUCAUGUUGAAAUUUUCGGAGGUGACGGAUGGGCAUGCGUAGCAUUAGCUUGUUGGUGAGGUAACGGCUCACCAAGGCGACGAUGCUUAGGGGGACUGAGAGGUUUUCCCCCCACACGGGUACUGAGACACGGACCAGACUCCUACGGGAGGCGGCAGUGAGGAAUAUUGGUCAAUGGGCGCAAGCCUGAACCAGCCAUGCCGCGUGCAGGAUGACGGCUCUAUGAGUUGUAAACUGCUUUUGUACGAGGGUAAAGUGGGUUACGUGUAACCUUUUGAAAGUAUCGUACGAAUAAGGAUCGGCUAACUCCGUGCCAGCAGCCGCCGUAA